AGCGCGCCAAGCCUGUGUGGACGUGGUCCUCCUGUGGAGGAGCAGAAGGGCCGGACGCUCCCGGUUUCGACGGCAACCCCUGCGUCCCGAGCUUCUCUGGGUCCUCCUGAGAUUCUUUCAUUGAUUCACAAGAGGGAGAUUAGAAGACCUGCUUUCUCAAUCUCCCACAUCUAAAGAUGCUGAAAAAUAUGAUAUUGACAUCAAUAUCAGAGGAUUCUGAGUCAGGCCUAACAUGCUUAUCAUCUGGCACAAAGAGGUCACUUAGAUUGAUGGAAUCAAUGCAUGCAUGGGCUUGAUGUGACCUUACUCACCACUCCUACUGGACUUUGACCAAGAAGAAAAAUUCUGGCAGAAGAAUUAUGACAAACAGUGCUGACACUGGACUACAGCAAUAACACAGCCUUCUGUUUUUCCUCUCCUCUCCCUCUUUUUCUUUGUUAAAAAAUUUUCAGAGUAAUUAUACCCAAAUUACAAGUCAUGUAAUUUUUACAAUACUCAUCUGAGACAGGCAGAACAGGUAUUACUCUCCAUAUUUUUCAGCUGAGAAAACUAAAGCAGGCAAAGAGAGACUGCACAAGGAACUAGCCUAUAACACAGGUUCUUUGACUGCAGGUACAAAAUUUUCUCCGACUGAGGGGAAGAAAAAAUGGGCAUAACUCUAGACAGGAAAACCAGAGAUCUUCAGCUUCAUGAGCCACCUUGGAGAUUCACUAGGCGAAGGACCAUUAUGGACAGAAGGGAAUAUUUAGAGAUGAAGUCAUCUAAUCACAGUCAUUUUACAAAAGGGAAAUCUGGCUUGCCCUAGGCAGCUAGAAAAUGUGAAAAGAGUCUCGGACUGACAGGCAGGAGACCUGAGUUCUGGUCUCAUUGUGCCACUAAGUUUCAGACCAACCCACUUAGCCAUCAACCUACAGACAUUUGCAAUUGGAUGUCCCACAAACAUUUCAAACUCAAGUCCAAAAUUCUUUCCUCUUCCUCACCCAUCCCCCACCUCCUCCAUCUCCUGGGAUGAUCAUCUCAAUAAAGGGCCCAGGGCAGGAUCCUGGGAAUCAUCCCUCUCCUUCAUCUCUCAUGUACCCUCAGUUAUACCAAAUUCUGCUACGAAUUUUCAGAUCCACCACCUCCUCCUCCUUUCCAUUUCUUCUGCCACUGUCUCAGUUCAGGCCCUCACUAUCCCUGCCUGGGUUAGGUUACUACUGUUGUCCAAUAGGUCUCCUGGCUUCUACUCUUGCCCUGUUUCAAUCCAUCUGCCACCACUCCUGCCAUCACAGAGGGCUUUCUAAAACAAAAAUUGUCUGUCACUGUGCUUUCCAUCACCAACUAGACGAAGCCUAAAGUUCCAAGCAGGAUACCCCUAUCUAUUUGUGAUUUGGCCUCUGCCUUCUUCUCUCACUUCAUCUAUCAUCACUCAUAACUUCAGCCAAGCCCAAGUUUUGCAGUUCCUCCAAUGUCACCUUUGGCUUUGACACUAAUGGUUCAUUCUUCCUGGAAGUCUCCCCCUUCUCCUACCCAUUGCCUGGCUAAAAUUAACUCAGCCUUCUAGAAUCAGCUUAGGUUGAAAUUUUUCCUGGCACCCCUUUAAAAUGUCCCUUUGAUACUCCCAUAGCAUCUUGUGCAAACAAAAGGGUCACUACUCACCCUGAACUGUUUGCUCACACAUCUAUGUCCUUCACUAAACCAUGAGCUGUGGGAUGGCAGGGACAGCAUUCUAUUCAGUGUUUGGUAUUGAAUAUUCAUCCAACAAAUAUUUGAGGACCAAAUUUAAGCCAAAUGUUGUAAUGGAUACACAGUGACCAAAGCAAAGAUACACCUUUCUAUCAAGUGGGAAUCUACAUCAUAAAUAAACGAUGAGAUAAAUAAGUAAGAGUGAAAAGUGCUGUGCAGAGAAUUAAAUCAUGUGAUAUGAAAGUGACUGGGUGGCUACUUUAGAUUGGGUAUGUCAGUAAGUUCCCUCGGGACUUCCCUGGUGGCGCAGUGGUUGAGAAUCCGCCUGCAAA